GUUCAACAUACCAUAGAUUCUAUUAUCCUUUGAUUCUCUUUUCAACAUCAACUAUGGAAGUUGGGCGACAAAUUUUGCAAUGUCAAACCAAUUCUGAAGCCUUUGCUAUUGAUCAACAAAGGCGAUCUGCCAAUUAUAAGCCUAACAUUUGGAAAUAUGAUUUCUUGCAGUCUCUUUCUAGUAAAUAUGAUGAAGAGCAGUAUAAAACACAAGCUGAGAGGCUCAGACAGGAUGUUAAGCAUUUAUUUGUUGAAACAGUGGAUUUACAGGCCAUAUUAGAGCUUGUUGACUGUAUCAGAAAGUUAGGCCUGGCAAGCCACUUCAACGAUGAAAUCAAAGAAGCUCUAGAUUCAGUAGCAUCAUCCAUGAAGAGCAACAACUUCAACGUGGAAGGCAAUCUGUAUUUCGCUGCCUUAAGUUUUAGGCUUCUCAGGCAGCAUGGCUACGAAGUUUCACAAGAUGUGUUUGGAGAAUUUUUGGACGAAAAGGGUACUUCCAUGAAAAUCCAAUGCGAGGACAUUAAAGGAGUACUCGAGGUUUAUGAGGCCUCACAUCUAGCUGUAGAAGGUGAAACUAUCUUAGAUUAUGCAAAAGCUUUCUCAGCCAGACUUCUCAAGGGUAUCAAUAAUUGUACAGUCAAAGAAGGCAACAUUUUCACACGUGUGUUCCAUGCUUUGGAGCUUCCACACCAUUGGAGAGCGCAAUGGUUUGAUGUCAAAUGGCAAAUCGACGCGUACGAAAAUGACCAAAAAAUAAAUAAAUUAUUGAUUGAUUUGGCUAAAAUCAAUUUCAACAUCGUCCAAGCCACACUUCAAAAAGAUCUAAAGGAGAUUUCGAGGUGGUGGAGGAAUUUGGGUCUAACAGAGUCUCUGAAAUUCACGAGGGAUCGAUUGGUGGAGAGCUUCUUGUGUUCUGUGGGACUUGUAUUUGAGCCUCACUUCAGCUGUUUUAGAAAAUGGCUUACUAAAGCCAUCGUUAUGGUAUUAGUCAUAGAUGAUGUCUACGACAUUUAUGGUUCACUGGAAGAGCUGGAGCAUUUCACCAGUGCUGUUAAUAGGUGGGAUUCGAGGAUAAUUCAACAGCUGCCAGAAUGCAUGCAAAUAUGCUUCCAAGUACUUGACAGUAUCGUUAAUGAAACUGCAAGUGAGAUGGAAAGGGAGAAUGGGUGGAACCAUGCACAACCUCACCUUAAAACAGCGUGGGCAGAUUUCUGUCAAGCAUUACUUGUGGAAUCAAAAUGGUAUAAUAAAGAAUAUACGCCAUCCUUGCAUGAGUAUUUGAACAACGCUUGGAUUUCAUCAUCAGGAACUCUCCUUUCAGUUCAUUCAUUUUUCUCUAUAAUGAAUGAGGUAGAAGAAGACAUGCUAGAUUUUUUUGGAAAAAAUCAAGAACUGGUGGAUAACAUAUCUCUCAUAAUCCGUCUCUGCAACGAUUUAGGAACUUCAGAGGCAGAACAAGAGAGAGGAGAUGCUGCUUCAUCAAUACUGUGUCAUAUGAAAGAAACGAAUGUUUCAGAGGAGACAGCUAGAACCUACAUUAAGGACAUGAUAAGCAAGUCAUGGAAGAAAGUAAACGGACAAUGCAUAGCCAAAUCACCUAAGCUCCAGUCACUUGUCAAUAUCAACACCAAUAUGGCUCGUGUGGUGCAUAACCUUUAUCAAUAUGGAGAUGGGUUUGGUGUUCAAGAUCGUGAAAAUAAGAGGCAGAUCCUCUCCCUCCUGGUUGAUCCACUCAAACUCAACUGAGAUGAAGAUUUCAUUAUUGGCUUGCUAUUGUAAUCUAGGUUCACAGUAUAAUUAAAUGCUGUAUGGAGUACUUAAAAAAUUUCAAUUCAACUUCUUCUCAUGUAUGUCCAUUCUGCAAAGCAAUAAAAGUAAUUUCAC
rnacentral:misc_RNA from 1 species